GACGUAGGGCGCGAGCGUUGUCCGGAUUUAUUGGGCGUAAAGAGCUCGUAGGCGGCUUGUCACGUCGACUGUGAAAACCCGAGGCUCAACCUCGGGCCUGCAGUCGAUACGGGCAGGCUAGAGUUCGGUAGGGGAGACUGGAAUUCCUGGUGUAGCGGUGAAAUGCGCAGAUAUCAGGAGGAACACCGGUGGCGAAGGCGGGACUCUGGGCCGAUACUGACGCUGAGGAGCGAAAGCGUGGGGAGCAAACAGG
rnacentral:rRNA from 1 species